GAGAGUUGAAAGGAAAGAGGAAAUUCAGUAAAUUCAGUAAAGAUUAAAAAGAUGGGUUUUACCAAGACUAAGGAAGCUGGAACCCAGUCCAUGCUGCCUGAUCCUGACAGUGACGCAGUAGCUAAUGCUUUAGCAAUGAUGAGUCAACUGUCUGCUAUGAAGACGUUAAAGGAUCUGGAUUUUGAGAGCUGGAUGGAGUGGAAAACUGAUUUGCAAAUUUUCCUUGGGUUGUUGGACUUAGAUAUUGCUCUUUACAAAGACAAACCAACAGAGGCAUCUGAAUUUGAAAGAUGGGAGCAAAGUAAUCGCUUAAGCCUUUUGAUUAUGAAAGCCAAGACUUAUAAUGGUAUUCGUGGUCUUGUGCAUAUGACAGUACUGGCAAUGCCAAACAAUUUUUUGCUGCUCUUGAGGAUAUAUUUAUGAAAAUGGAGAAAGAAGAGGCCUAUUCCCUGUCUGACAAGUUACUGAAGAUGAAAUAUGAUGGUGAAGGGAGCGUCUGUGAACACAUUAUGAAAAUGUCCAGUAUUUUCUCAAGGUUAAGAGCUGUGGAUCAUACAGAUCUUUCUGAUUCUUAUCUUGUUAAAUUGGCCGUCAAAUCUCUUCCUCUACAGUAUAUGUCUCUGAAACUUGCAUACAAUCCUAAAAGCAAUGAUUGGGGAUUGGGCAAACUUUUGUCCAAGUGUGCAGAAGCAGAAAAAUUACAUCAUGAAAUUGAAAUUGAAGAGAAUGAUGUUAGAGAUGCGUUUUAUGAAGGAGAGCAAUCAGGAUAUACAAGUGACAAUGACCGUAGGAAAAGGGCUAAAAUUCAAUGUUUUUCCUGUGGGGAGAUGGGGCACAAGAGGUGGGAAUGCCCAAACUGAUAGGAACAAGGAGAAUGUCUGUUCACGAAAUAAAGGCUGCAAUUCACACUGAUUCAAGGCAUGCAAGCCAGCUGCGAUCAGUUUACUCUAGUAGAGAAACAGUGGAAUGUGGUUAUGUGGUUUUUAAACGGAUUGAUUUCUUAGGAAGUUGCAAAAUUUUGUUGGUGUUGAAUCAUGUCAGUGGGGACUAUGACAGUAAUGCGUAUGAGCUUUUGAUCAGGGAAUGAUAUCAUCUUUCCAGUGGCUAAUCCCUUUCCCAUAUUUUAGUUUUGACUUUUGAGUCGUCAGUGGCAAGUUCAAUUGCCUAGCUGAACUAUUAGAUCCAGGUCUUUAACUUGAAGACCAGUUGCAUUCAACCUUGCUCUUUCUACCACGUUAUGGAACAAUUUAGAUUAUAUGAUUUGCAUUUACUAAGCAUAGUGAAUAGUAAAUGAGUGCAUGUAUCGAUAGUCUUCUUGUUCAAAACCAAAUCUGAGUGCCCUUAUCAAAUCCCUCUUGCAAUGAAGACAUAUCUGAUGGUUGAGGUUUUCUAAUCUGUAUUAGCUUCAACUGUUCGAUUACUUGACUUGGUUUGGCAAGCGUAGACUAGUGAAUAGUAAAUGAGUGAAAUACUUGCAGAUAAGCUUCUUUUUCAUAACCCCUACCCGUCCAAAGGGCAGUGCCUUGAUACAAUAGGUUUGAAUUCAAGAUGGUUGAGAUUUUUUCAAAUCUGUGAUAGCUUGGAUUUUUCAACAAACUGC